rnacentral:rRNA from 1 species
CCUACGGGGGGCAGCAGUGAGGAAUAUUGGUCAAUGGGCUUACGCCUGAACCAGCCAAGUCGCGUGAGGGAAGACUGCCCUAUGGGUUGUAAACCUCUUUUGUCAGGGAGCAACGCCGGCUACGUGUAGCCGGACUGAGAGUACCUGAAGAAAAAGCAUCGGCUAACUCCGUGCCAGCAGCCGCGGUAAUACGGAGGAUGCGAGCGUUAUCCGGAUUUAUUGGGUUUAAAGGGUGCGUAGGCGGAAUGCCAAGUCAGCGGUAAAAGCGCGGGGCUCAACCGCGUUCCGCCGUUGAAACUGGCGUUCUUGAGUGGGCGAGAAGUAUGCGGAAUGCGUGGUGUAGCGGUGAAAUGCAUAGAUAUCACGCAGAACUCCGAUUGCGAAGGCAGCAUACCGGCGCCCAACUGACGCUGAAGCACGAAAGCGUGGGUAUCGAACAGGAUUAGAUACCCGAGUAGUC